UGCAGCCGCCACUGGCCUGACAACCCUUCCUGUCUUCUCCCAGCACCCCUCCUUCUUCCGGGGCCCUUUCCUCCAGCUAUGGCUCUUGGGCAGCCUCUCCCCUGGGCUCCUUCUGGGCUGGGUAAAGGCUUCUAGCUGCUGCUGGCUUCUUAUCUCUGCUGAGGAAUCUCUACACUCCUCACUCAUCCCCGUUGACUGUGUGCCUCCUGUUCACUGCCAAGGGGCUCGCUCACAGCAGUUUCAGAUCCAAGCCCCCCACCACCACCCCACCCCCCUGCCGCCCUCCUGCUUAGCUGUAGGCUAUUGCUGCUCGUUUUGAAAUGCAUUAGCAGCUCAGAAGAGGCCUUAAGGUCUGAGGGCGGUUCAUCAAUUCUCCCUCUGAAAAAUCCAAUGACAGAAAAGGGUCCUGGCAGUGUAUUGUAAGCUAGUGAUCAAACCAUCCAAAUAUACAGCCAGUGACUCACUGCUAUUGAUCUGGGCCUGAGUGGGGUUCAUUCCGGGGCAGCCGCUGGAGGCCCUGGUAUCAGACCUGACUAGACAUGACUAUACAUAUGUAUGUAUGACUAGACAUACCAUGGCCAUGGGUGCACCAGGAACAAAUCACUUAGGUUCUCUGCAAUGUGCCCUGUCUGUCAGUCUAACCAUGUGAGCUAGGGAUACAGAAGUAAGGGAGCCAGCGGGGGUGCCUGAAGUACCACCAGGGCUCUGCAGUCCGUGGUCUAACAGACCAGCCAAGGGGACCGCACUGCCGGUGAGCAGUCACGGCUGUUUUCUUACCACAAACGCAGACUUGCUUGGCUCUGGUUGUGUUGUUUUCUGGAACUCAAUUGGUGGGUGGCUGGCCUCAAACUCGCAGAAAUCCACUUGCUUCCACCUCAGUGGAUCUCAGCCUUCCUAAUGGUUCAUGCCUGUACUUUGCUAUGCUUAUGAGUCCUAAUGUGAAUAUCUUCUACUCAGGACAUCUGAUAUGUGACCGACCCCUGGGAAAGGGUCGCUCGACCCCCAAAGGGUCACAACCCACGGGUUGGGAAUCUUUGCUCUUCCUCUCCCUCCAAAGUGCUGGGUUUAAAGGUUUCCCUCUGGGCCAGGCUAGACGUUUGUAUGCCAUCUAAUUUUAAUCCUUACAAGUUAGAUUCUUUCUACUCAUAUUAUAAAUGGGGGAAAAAGAAGCUGAGAUUAAACCUCUCAACAUCAUGACUGUGAAGUCCAGCAUAGGGAUUUGAACUCAGCAACUCCAGAACCCAGGUUGGUGACCCUCAGAGAUGCUGUUUCGGAAUGGGAAGCCCUGUAGACAUUUUGGGUGUUUGCGUCUGAUUUGCUAUCUCCUUCUUCUACAUGACAGGAUAUCUGGUGGUUUUAUUAUUAAGAUUUUUUUUCCCUGAGACAUGGUUUCUCUGUGUAGCCCUGGCUGUCCUGGAACUGCCUGUGUGGACCAGGCUGGUCUCAAACUUAGAGAUCCACCUGUUUCUAUCUCUGCCUCCUGAGUGUUGGGCUACAUGAGACCUUGUCUAAGAGAAGAAAAAAAAAAAAAAAAGGAAAAGGAAAAAGAAGUUCCUUAUGACCAGCCAUUGGAUGCUAGGUACUGUGUGAUGCUCUGGGGAUGAGUGAAUGAGAUGGCCUCUAUAUCCCACCACAUUCAUGAAGCCUGCUGCCCAGUGCAGGGUGUCAAAUUUUGUGAAAAGGGCCAGAUAAAUAUUUCAGGUGUUGUGAACAAUAUGAUGUCUGUCACAACUUCUCAACUGCCAUCAAAGUGUCACAGCCAGAUGAACAUGCCCCCAAGGCUCAGGGACCACUGUGGAAGAGGGAGCAGGAAGCCUGCCAGAGCCAGAGGCCAGGGUACAGCAAAGCAGAGCCCAGAUUUCUGGACAUGACAGGACUCCUGCACUAAUAAACUCACAGCAGCCAGUGGCUGCCCACACAAGAUCAAGCCAGUGAUGGUUACAGAAUAGAGGGGCGUCUCAGCUAGGGUUUCUAUUGCUGUGAAGAAACACUAUGGCCACUCUUACAAAGGAAAACAUUUAAUUGGGGCUGGCUUACAGUUCAGACAUUUAGUCCAUUACCAUCAGGGUGGGAAGCAUGGUGGUGUGCAGGCAGACAUGGUGCAGGAGAGGAGCUGAGAGUUCUACUGGAUCCUCAGAGAGUAGGAAGAGUGACACUAGGCCUGAAGUCCACCCCCAGUGACACACUUCCUCCAUCAAGGUCACACCUCCUAACAGUGCCACGCCCCAUAAGCCUAUGGGAACUAUUUUCAUUCAAACCACCACAAGGGGAAAAGAGUUUACAAGUCCCUGUGGCUAACUGAGGUUCUACUGACAACUGGUGUUUUCUGGGGAGGGUGACUCAGUUUUCUUUAAGGGUGUGGCCCCUGAUAAGUCCACCUUGCCAUGACUAUAUGUAAGUGGGUUAUUGAAAAAAAAAAAACAUUUAGUUGCAGAUGUGAGGUGGAUUUAGGAGGGAUUGGGGAAGAAAUAGGGAGUGAAUAGAAUCAAAAUACAUUAUAUAAAAUUUUCAAAAAUUAAUAAAAAUAUAUUU
rnacentral:lncRNA from 1 species